GGAUGAAGUAAUCAAUUGAUAUAAGAUUUUUAAUCUUAGUAUAGGAGUAUCCUCUCAUCUA
rnacentral:tRNA from 1 species